rnacentral:tRNA from 1 species
UUGGGAGAAAAGUCUUGGAAAAUCAACGUACUGGGGUGGACUCUGACUCCGCCAGUCUAGGUUCGAAUCCUAGUUCCCCAGCCA